AAUGUCACCAUCAAUGCUCAAUAGUCGUCCGUGCUCCUGCACUCGUUUCUGUUGAUACCAAACUAUUUUGACCCCUUCCCAUUAUCUAAUCUCCUUAGCAUUCCUUCACUAAUCCAAUUCUUAUUUCUUAUACAUACCUAAUCAUGGAUUUUAAUCUUUUCCAAGUCUUUCUCAGUUCGUAUGCCUCUGAACUACUUGGGUUUCAGUUUCUGCUCAUAGAAUUUAGAAAGACAAGCCCAGAUAAGCAUAUUGCACCCUUUUGGGCUGUUUGCUGCUGAAGAACCAAUUCAAGUUCAGUGGGUUGCUGAAUUUCAAGGUUCGGGGUAUAAGAGGUUUAAGGUACAAGAAGACAUGGGGUUAGGGGAGUAGAGAAUUGGAAUUGUAUGUUGCAAUGGUUUGUAGUUGCUUUGGGGUGCUCAAUUGGUGCAAAGGAAAUAAGAAUUUGGAACCUUCCAGCCAAGCCCAAGGGAUUCCUACCAACAAUGUAAGGCUCUUUUCUUAUAAUUC